rnacentral:tRNA from 1 species
GGGAGUGUAGCUCAGAGCUGGAGCACAUGCCUUACAUGCCUGACACCUUGGGUUCAAUUCCCAGCACCA